UAAUCAAAGAGCCCAUCAUCCCCAGUGCCGACCCUCUCCUUCAUCCUCACAUCAAAGAGCCCAUCAAAACCCCAAAUUUGGUCCCCAUACCCACCAGUCUCCGCCAUCUCGAACUCCAUCUUUGACUCUAUCCUUAAUCUCGCCACCACACCUUAAUCAAAGAGCCGAUCCCUUCAAUACGGCUCCGAUCGCAGGAGAUAAGAUCAGGAUCUCCGAGUUCAAUCCCUGAGACGAUUCAAGAGGAUUUGAUUCCCAGGGAGUCAAAUGAAUAAAUAUAAAUGAUUAGCUGAACUCAGUUCGGUGACUUUAUGGAUUUGAUUGAAAGGCUAAAAUAAAUGAAUUCAGUUCUUGAGUUUGUGGGGGAGUUCAGUGGGAUGAUGAUGGAUGUACAGAAAAUUCCUGACCCUCUUUUGAAGCCCAUGGCAACUCCCUUGUCCUACACAGCCUGUCAUGUUUUAAUACUAAAUUUGAACUUUUUUUCCCUUAAAAGAUUGUUCUUGUGAUCUUGUUAUCUGUUGUUUUGCUGUUUUGCUGAUUCUAGUUCUUGUAUUUCUUUUUCUUGUUAAUUUAGAUUAACAAUAUGUUGUGUUCUUAUUAAUUAUAUGUCUUGGAUUCAUGUUGAGCAAUGUGACAAGCAUCAUCAAAUGGUGGUCUUUCAAUCA